ACAGUGGUGAUGCAUUAUCAUUCUGAAGCACAAGCCAUGGAUGAAGCUAUGAAAGAACAUGAGCUAAGCCACAUGAAGACAAGGGAAUCUUUAUUCUUGGAACAACAACUGCUGAACCAGACUAAGACACUCGGAGCCAGCAAAGCUCCCCAUCCAGCCAGGGAGACUUUGCCUCAUGGGAAAGAAUGUCUAUGAAACUUGGCAUCAGCCUGGUCAGAAGCUUGUGACUCAGCUCCAUUUCUCAGCUCUCCUAGCAGCUUGGAUAAUGCCCUGCCUCCUUCUCCAUCUUCCUGUGGUACCACCUCCAGACUUCUGACGCUGAGCCCUUCUGGUCUGAGUUUUUUGUGCAUUCAUUUCAAAACCCAUCUACUUUUUGAUGGAGUGACACACUCGCCAUCAUAAUAUCUUCAGGGGAAAAAGCAAGCCUGAGUUCAAACAGCCCAGCCUUGACCAUUAAUAGCUGCACCAAAUGCAGUAAGAGCACAGAUACUGUGCAGUCUCCAAGUAUUUUUAAACGUGCCUAGAAAAGCAGAAGAGACCAGCAUCUCCUUCCUACAAAAAGGCAUCUGGUAGCUCAGACAGCAAGUGUCUUAGGCUUUUGUCUAAAUGUGUUCAUGGAUAAAGAAGCAACAAGGUGCCUGCCAUGCUACAGACACUAUCCAUAGUGUUGUCCAUGCCUGAGAAGCUCUUCAGGCACAAAAUUCUCUGCAAGGUUGGAGAAAUGCUUCUCAAACCAACAGACAUUUUGCCUAGUAUAGUGUUUGCCCAGGGCAGUGUUAAUA